rnacentral:rRNA from 1 species
CCUACGGGAGGCAGCAGUGAGGAAUAUUGGUCAAUGGGCGGAAGCCUGAACCAGCCAAGUAGCGUGCAGGAUGACGGCCCUACGGGUUGUAAACCUCUUUUGCCGGGGAGCAACGGGGUCCUUGCGAGGGCCCGAUGAGAGUACCCGGAGAAAAAGCAUCGGCUAACUCCGUGCCAGCAGCCGCGGUAAUACGGAGGAUGCGAGCGUUAUCCGGAUUUAUUGGGUUUAAAGGGUGCGUAGGCGGGCUGUUAAGUCAGCGGUCAAAUGUCGGGGCUCAACCCCGCGCUGCCGUUGAAACUGGUGGCCGCGAGUGGGCGAGAGGUAUGCGGAAUGCGUGGUGUAGCGGUGAAAGGCAUAGAUAUCACGCAGAACUCCGAUUGCGAAGGCAGCAUACCGGCGCCCCACUGACGCUGAGGCACGAAAGCGUGGGUAUCGAACAGGAUUAGAUACCCUGGUAGUC